rnacentral:snRNA from 1 species
GUGCUCGCUUCGGUAGCACAUAUACUAAAAAUUGGAACAAUACAGAUUAGCAUGGCCCCUGUGCAAGGAUGGCACACAAAUUCGUAAAGCAUUCCAUAUUAAA